CGGUCAAACGGCCAAGGUUAUUGAAACAAAGAAGUCGUGGCAUUACAAAUAGAUAUAUUACUGUGAAAGUGCGGUGGAUAAUAAAAAGGCCAUUCUUGGGCAAAGAGUAUGGACCAGACCUGCCACCAGUGAGCCAGCUGCACGCCUUCAUAAGGUACACCGCGGGAGUGAUUCACCCCGACGAGGUUGUAAUUAGUCAACCUUACUUCAUUGCAUCGACAUCAGAAGCGUCGCAGGCAGCGGGACGGAAGUGAGGAAGUGCGUUUAAUCCAAGAGGACAACUUCAUCCCACGGACCCCGACUUAGCGCAUAUUCGCUAUAUUGAAAUCAAGUAAUUCCGAAUUAAUAUCAGCUAGUGCCAGAUUACCUUAAAAGUUAAGCAAAGAAGACGUGAAUGAUCAGUCAGCGGUGUGGUGCACGCCUACUUACAAACACAAGCAAUUUUUUUUGAGAUAAGUGCUUAUCAGCUUUUGUGCUUCGUAAAAGCGCGGAUGAACAGGCCAUAAAGUUUGAAAAGGUCACUUGCUAAUAAAAUUCAGCGUAUUUAAACAAGCGCAACUCGUAAUUGGCAAAAUGCCCUAAAUUACUUUGAAUGUAUCCAAAUCAUUAAUAGUAAGAAAUAUAAUUAUUGAAGUUUUU